rnacentral:SRP_RNA from 1 species
GGAGGUUGGUGAUGGACGGGCUCCUCGCCAACCCGGUCAGGUCCGGAAGGAAGCAGCCGUAACGAGUUUCGGUUCGGGUCGUCGCCAGCCUCCCAC